rnacentral:rRNA from 1 species
GACGAACGCUGGCGGCGUGCUUAACACAUGCAAGUCGAACGGAAAGGCCCUGCUUUUGUGGGGUGCUCGAGUGGCGAACGGGUGAGUAACACGUGAGUAACCUGCCCUUGACUUUGGGAUAACUUCAGGAAACUGGGGCUAAUACCGGAUAGGAGCUCCUGCUGCAUGGUGGGGGUUGGAAAGUUUCGGCGGUUGGGGAUGGACUCGCGGCUUAUCAGCUUGUUGGUGGGGUAGUGGCUUACCAAGGCUUUGACGGGUAGCCGGCCUGAGAGGGUGACCGGCGACAUUGGGACUGAGAUACGGCCCAGACUCCUACGGGAGGCAGCAGUGGGGAAUAUUGCACAAUGGGCGGAAGCCUGAUGCAGCAACGCCGCGUGCGGGAUGACGGCCUUCGGGUUGUAAACCGCUUUCGCCUGUGACGAAGCGUGAGUGACGGUAAUGGGUAGAGAAGCACCGGCUAACUACGUG